rnacentral:tRNA from 1 species
GGAGAGUUAGGAAAAUGGUAAUCUAGUCCUCGAGGUAUUUGUGGGUUCAAAUCCCACACUCUCCA